UCAAAACAUGCGAAGUAGGUAGGCAUAGUGGCUUACAAUCUGUAACCAUGGCUCUGGGGAAGGAGAAGCAGGAGGAUUUUAAGUUCAAAGCUACCUUGGGCUAAAUAAUUAAAACCUUGUCUCAAAAAUAGAAAACCAUAGGUUUGUCUGAACAUGUAGACCUGGAAUAAAUCCUGUACUACUUCUGUGAUGGAGAAGUCUCUGCAUAUAUUAAACUACUCUGCCACCGCGUUCUCAUCUUUCUCAGAGUAUCUCUUCGUGUCAUCAUGAUCCAUCAAAGAAAGUACAGUGACUACAUAAAUGAGGGAGGCUAUUAAGGUGAACUAUUCGAGAGAUCGGUGCCCUGAGGAAAGAAGUGCUUGCAUUACGCAUGGCUUUACACUUAGUUCUCUCCCCAACCACAAAGAGAAGAUGGAUAUUCUUCGGUCAGAUGAACACUUUAUGAGAUUUUGUACUAUAUAAAGAGACGUCUUCA
rnacentral:lncRNA from 1 species